CAUAUCCCAAUCCUGAGCUUGCUCAAGCACGCAUCAAAUGGUCAGAAGUAAUCCAUGCAAGCAAGAUUGUAGAACGUAAUGCAAGAAAAGAUUCUCAUAAUAAAAAGGAUUUCUGAUGCACCCAAUGCCUAGUCAAAGGACAGAGAUUCUAUCAAGUGCUUAAACAUUCACGAUUUGAGAGUUGGGAUACUGACGAUGGUAUCAGGAGAAAAGAAAAUUGUGACAGCU
rnacentral:lncRNA from 1 species